rnacentral:rRNA from 1 species
UGCAAGUCGAACGGUGAAGCGAGAGCUUGCUCUCGUGGAUCAGUGGCGAACGGGUGAGUAACACGUGAGUAACCUGCCCCAGACUCUGGGAUAAGCCUUGGAAACGAGGUCUAAUACCGGAUACGAGACGAGAUCGCAUGGUCAUCGUCUGGAAAGAAUUUCGGUCUGGGAUGGACUCGCGGCCUAUCAGCUUGUUGGUGAGGUAAUGGCUCACCAAGGCGACGACGGGUAGCCGGCCUGAGAGGGCGACCGGCCACACUGGAACUGAGACACGGUCCAGACUCCUACGGGAGGCAGCAGUGGGGAAUAUUGCACAAUGGGCGCAAGCCUGAUGCAGCGACGCCGCGUGGGGGAUGAAGGCCUUCGGGUUGUAAACCCCUUUCAGCAGGGAAGAAGCGAAAGUGACGGUACCUGCAGAAGAAGCGCCGGCUAACUACGUGCCAGCAGCCGCGGUAAUACGUAGGGCGCAAGCGUUGUCCGGAAUUAUUGGGCGUAAAGAGCUCGUAGGCGGUCUGUCGCGUCUGCUGUGAAAACCCGAGGCUCAACCUCGGGCCUGCAGUGGGUACGGGCAGACUAGAGUGUGGUAGGGGAGACUGGAAUUCCUGGUGUAGCGGUGGAAUGCGCAGAUAUCAGGAGGAACACCAAUGGCGAAGGCAGGUCUCUGGGCCACUACUGACGCUGAGGAGCGAAAGCAUGGGGAGCGAACAGGAUUAGAUACCCUGGUAGUCCAUGCCGUAAACGGUGGGCACUAGAUGUGGGGCUCUUUCCAUGAGUUCCGCGUCGCAGCUAACGCAUUAAGUGCCCCGCCUGGGGAGUACGGCCGCAAGGCUAAAACUCAAAGGAAUUGACGGGGGCCCGCACAAGCGGCGGAGCAUGCGGAAUUAAUUCGAUGCAACGCGAAGAACCUUACCAAGGCUUGACAUAUACCCUUUAUCC